GAUGAACGCUGGCGGCAUGCCUAACACAUGCAAGUCGAUCGGUAAGGCUCUUCGGAGUACACGAGGGGCGGACGGCUGAGUAACGCGUAGGAACACACCCUGCAGUGAGGGAUAAGACACCGAAAGGUGUUCUAAUACCGCAUACGGUCUUCGGAUUAAAGCAUUUAUGCGCUGAAGGAGUGGCCUGCGUCAUAUUAGAUAGUUGGUGAGGUAAUGGCUCACCAAGUCGAUGAUGUGUAGCUGGUCUGAGAGGAUGAUCAGCCAGACUGGAACUGAGACACGGUCCAGACUCCUACGGGAGGCAGCAGUGAGGAAUAUUUCACAAUGAGCGAAAGCUUGAUGGAGCAAUGCCGCGUGCAGGAUGAAGGCCCUCGGGUUGUAAACUGCUUUUAUAAGAGAAGAUUAUGACGGUAACUUAUGAAUAAGGGACGGCUAACUACGUG
rnacentral:rRNA from 1 species